UAUAUUAUAUUAUAUAAAUAAGUAAAGAAACAUAAGAAACAGAAUGAAAGCAAAUGAAACAGAGAAGAAACAGGGGAGAAAGAAAGAAAGAAAAAGAAAAAGAAAAAGAAAAAGAAAAAGGAAAAUUUGGGUUUCAAGGCUCAAAGUUUAAUUUGCCGAAUAUGAAGGCUUGAGAAUCCAUGGAAGAAGCUUCCAACUUUCAGCUAAUGCAUGAUCAAGAUCGGGUGGAAAAUCGAGAAAAAUGAGAAAAUUACCAAAAUGCUCCUGAACUUUGAUGACUCUACAAUUUAGCCAGGUAAGUUCGUAUGCAAUAAGCAUUGUUAAAUUGAUGUUUCUAAUGCUUUAAUAUUGUAUAAAUUGUAUAUACGUGAAUAUUUUAAUGUCUGACGACAUAUCGACAAAAUGUGGCACUUAGUGUGCGGGGCAAUCAAAUAUGGUACUCAAUGUACGAAAUAUUGAGAAUGGCACUUAGUGUGCGAGAUAUUGAGAAUGACACUUAGUGUGCAAAAUAUCGAAUGAUUCAAAGGGAAAUUAUAAAUUGUGAUUGAAUGAUU